AGCUUUGUGCAGUGGUAGUAUCAUAGCCAAUGAGGUUUAUCCAAGGUGUGAUAAUUGCUAAUAAAGAAUUAAGUUACAUUUAAAACAAAAGAAAUCAACACCCACAGUAAUCACAUCCUAAUUAUUUUACUACAUUUUAUUGU